CGACCCCAGGUCAGUCGGGACCACCCGCUGAGUUUAAGCAUAUAAAUAAGCGGAGGAGAAGAAACUUACAAGGAUUCUCCUAGUAACGGCGAGCGAACCGGGACCAGCCCAGCUUGAGAAUCGGGUGGCUUCGUCACCUGAAUUGUAGUCUGGAGAGGCGUCCUCAGCGACGGACCGGGCCCAAGUUCCCUGGAAAGGGACGCCUGGGAGGGUGAGAGCCCCGUCCGGCCCGGACCCUGCCGCACCACGAGGCGCCGUCAACGAGUCGGGUUGUUUGGGAAUGCAGCCCAAAUCGGGCGGUAAACUCCGUCCAAGGCUAAAUACAGGCGAGAGACCGAUAGCGAACAAGUACCGCGAGGGAAAGAUGAAAAGGACUUUGAAAAGAGAGUCAAAGAGUGCUUGAAAUUGCCGGGAGGGAAGCGGAUGGGGGCUGGCGAUGCGCCCCGGUCGUAUGCGGAACGGCUUCUGCUGGUCCGCCGAUCGGCUCGGGGCGUGGACUGUUGUCGGCCGUGCCGGCGGCCUAAGCCCGGGGGCCCUAGGUGCCUCCGGUCGCCGUCGUCGGCACGGCCGGUCUCCGCGCGCCGCAAGGCGCGCCCCUCGGGGCGCUGCGCUGCAACGGCCUGCGAGCUCCCCAUCCGACCCGUCUUGAAACACGGACCAAGGAGUCUGACAUGCGUGCGAGUCGACGGGUUCUGAAACUUGGGAUGCGCAAGGAAGCUGACGAGCGGGAGGCCUUCACGGGCUGCACCGCUGGCCGACCUUGAUCUUCUGUGAAGGGUUCGAGUUGGAGCACGCCUGUCGGGACCCGAAAGAUGGUGAACUAUGCCUGAGCGGGGCGAAGCCAGAGGAAACUCUGGUGGAGGCUCGAAGCGAUACUGACGUGCAAAUCGUUCGUCUGACUUGGGUAUAGGGGCGAAAGACUAAUCGAACCAUCUAGUAGCUGGUUCGACCAGUCCCCGGGCAUAUAGUGCUCGGUGGUCGGUGCAGUCCCCAGGUCGCCAAACUGGCAGACUGGUCGAUCAGUCCCCGGGCAUAUAGUGCUCGGUACAGUCCCUAGGAAUGUCACAGUCCUCCACCAAUUCUGCUUGUUAUUUUGGAAAAAAGCAUCUUACCACAUUAAUGUAUGAUGUGACGAGGCAUCCUGCCGUAUUGUUAGAUGAUUGCGUGAAAAGGUGUGCCGGGUAACUGUGCCGCCGCUCGUUUCGUGGUUCAAGAAAAGGAAACGACCAAUUAUGCAGAAAAGCCACCGUAUUUACUGCCGGUAAUUAUUGAAAACCGAAACGCCGCAUCCGCCGCAGGGCCCGCCCACUUCCCAAGAAUGCAGGAAGUGGAAGAGGUGGAGCCGUUGCCUAUAAAGACUCGACACAACGCCUCUAAUCUUUACCCUGCCUUUGCCUUCAAACCUUCUAUUCUUGCCAGUCCUGCCUUCUACAACCUCCAUCUUGAAUCAUCUAGCUCGCAGUCGCCUCCGUAGCGUCAAUGGUGAAGAGUGACUCGA
rfam:Sorghum bicolor cultivar BTx623 unplaced genomic scaffold super_1457, whole genome shotgun sequence.